rnacentral:rRNA from 1 species
UACGGAGGGGACUAGCGUUGUUCGGAAUUACUGGGCGUAAAGCGCACGUAGGCGGAUUUGUAAGUCAGGGGUGAAAUCCCGGGGCUCAACCUCGGAACUGCCUUUGAUACUGCAAAUCUCGAGUCCGGAAGAGGUGAGUGGAAUUCCUAGUGUAGAGGUGAAAUUCGAUAGAUAUUAGGAAGAACACCAGUGGCGAAGGCGGCUCACUGGUCCGGUACUGACGCUGAGGUGCGAAAGCGUGGGGAGCAAACAGGG